rnacentral:lncRNA from 1 species
CCAUUAGCUCCAUGUCAUCGUACCGCUUCUCGAGCAGCCACUUGCACAUGUACCUCACGUACGCCUCCGCGCAGUUCAUAUCGUCCUCUAGAUCGGCGAAAGCUAACUCAGGCUCCACCAUCCAGAACUCGGCGAGAUGUCUCGACGUGUGAGAGUUCUCCGCUCGAAAAGUAGGACCGAACGUGUACACGUCGCUCAGACCGCAAGCGUAGGUUUCCACUUGUAAUUGACCUGAGACCGUCAAGAAAGCUUGACGGCCGAAGAAAUCUUGAGUAUAAUCAAUCUUUCCAUCGAGUUUAGGCAAUCCAGGUUUGAGCCUUGACCUCUCUUCGGUCCUGGAUAAGCUCGCUUUUGCUUCGUUGAGUUCAGCAACGGAGGCUGUGAUCGUUUCCUUGCUUGCUUUAGCGGAUUUGAGCUGCGCUACGGCUUCGCCUCUCGCCUUGACGAUGAGUCUGGCGGCUUCGACGUCGGCCUCGGUGGGUGGAGGGUUUUCGAUGAGGUCUCUCUCCAGCUUCUCGGUGUGGCUGAUGAGAGUUGUUACUUGGAACAUCUCUCCAGCUCCUUCGCAGUCGCUUGUUGUGAUGAUUGGGGUUUGAAUGUAGAGGAAACCUUCUUCGUCGAAGAAUGUGUGUGUGGCUAUAGCGAGUGCGUGUCGGAUUCUUGCAAUUGCUGAGAUCUGAAAAACACAGGGAAACAAAAAACAGGACAAUUCACUUAAACCUAACUUUCUGAUCAAGUAAUCAUUUUUCGAAUAAGGCUGUAAAUGUAACCAUCGUCACUCAACCGUAAAGACGAUUAAGAGAUCUGAAACCACAAGGAAGCAAAAACAGGAGACUCUACUUAAACCUAACUGAAAUCAAAUAACUUUCUGAUCAAGUAAUCAUUUUAGACUAAGGAUGCAAAGAAUCUGUAAUCAUCAAUGAAACUGAGGCCAACAAAGACAGACACUCCACUCAAACCUAAUUGAAAUCAAAUAACUUUCUGAUCAAGUAAUCAUUUUCCACUAAGGCUGCAAAGAAUAGGUAAUCAUGAGCGUCACUGAGGCUAGCAAAAACAGGACACACCGCUCAAACCUAAUACUAUAAUCAAAUAACUUUCUGAUCAAGUAAUAGUUUUUUUCGAUUAGGGCUGUAAAUGAAUCUCUAGUAAUCGUCACUGAGGCUACGAAAGCUAGAAGAAUCUCAAUAACUAAACCCUAAACCCAUGAACACUCCACUCAACUCAAACCUAACUUUCUGAUCAAGAAAUCAUUUUUUGAUUAGAUCUGUACAUAAUCUCAAUAACUAAACCAAUCCCAUAACAUAUUCGAACAAAGUAAGUGAUCUUUAUUACCGAAUUGGUCCUAGAACGAAGAUGAGGAAACUCUCUCAACCUCUCAAGAGUCAGCUUCGUCUUAGGAAUCGGGUAAGUAGCAGUAUCAACCGUCCCCACAUCAAUCACCUCCACAACACUAAGCUCAACCUUCUGCUUCGUCCCUUUACCUUCGGGAGGAAUCUUCAAGCACCCAUCGACGGUCACGCAAGUCCCCGUCGCAACCAGCUUGGUGAGAUCUGAAACCGAAGCGUCCACCAUAACCUGAAGAUUCGCAGGGCACGAUCCGUCGUUAACCUCGAGGAAAGCGAAAGCGCCUUUCCCUUGCUCCCUCCCCGUUUUGACCCACCCGCUGAUUCGGACCUUUUGACCCGCGAGUCCGGCUCCGCCGUCGGGUCGGCCCAGAAUCGAGCGGAUGCGGACUCGGUCUGAGAACCGCGCUUUUUGCACUGUUGAAGAUGAGAUUCCAUCGCUGGAUAUGGAUACGGCGGGUACUUGAUGUGCCGGUGGUGGAACCUCGUCGGCCAUGAGUUUGGGGGCGCUGGAGACAGAACCCUAGAACAGCUAAGCAAGAACAUAACGUGAAGGGGUAUGAUUGGAAAUUAACACCCCGCGGAUUCUAGUGGUUGUGGUUUGUAAUUUCGUAUCAUAAGAUUCUUAAACAAUUAGUUUACUAAUCUUUCCACCUCCAUAUAAAAUAUUCGUAAGAUAAUCAAAUUACUAUAGCUGGUUAAUGUUUCGUUUUUUUUUAAUAAAUUCUUGUAUUUGUUUAUGAUUUGUAUAUUAUAUAAAUAAAUAAAAUAUGAUGUUGAGUUCUAUUAUAUUAUCUUCGGUGUUCAAAAAAGAAGAAGAUAAUAUGAUUUCAAAUAUGAUAGUUAGGUCGGUAACAUUGUAGAACAAUUGUUUAAAAUAUUUUAAGUUGGUUAGCAAUUUUCACACCUGCACAAAAAAAAAAUGAAGAGAAUCAAACAACUCGAAUAAACAAAAGACUCACCCAAUAUCUAACGUACCUGGCCAUCGUGACCACGUAACGUUGUAUUCAAUUAUGAUGCAUCUUAUUUUUUUCCCUCAGGAUAAUAAAAUUUAAGAAGUUUCAAGGUGUAUUGGGACGUCGUCAAAAGUCAACCACAUGCCUCCAUAGGACUUCCAAAAUAACAGAAUAAUUUCCCAGGCAUCACGGUCAUCGUAUCAGUAAGAGAACGAUAUUAAUUCUCCCUUAUCAUUUAUUAGAAACAUUUUUGUUGUCAUCUUCUUCUUGACUUUUCCAACCAAAAUACAUCCUCCCGUCUGUUCUUUUUUUUUCUGGUCAACACACUCUUGAUCAUUUAUGGGUGAAACAAGAUCCAUGAUCACGUUCUUCUUGUUGGUGACCUUCCUACAGAUCAUCUUCCUAGCUCACGGAGCAGCAGGAGAGACGACCACAGAGUUCAUUUUUCAAGGCUUUAAAGUAAACCAAUCAAAGCUUCAAUUAGAAGAAGAUGCAACCAUCACGCCCAACGGACUACUAAGGCUAACCAAUCGAAACUCAGACCGCGCGGGAACGGCUUUUUACAACAAACCGGUUAGACUGCUCGACAAUAACUCCACGGUUCGUUCUUUUAGCACUUCCUUCAUCUUUGUCAUCAUCCCUUCAAGCUCAAACAACGGAGGUUUCGGGUUUACAUUCACACUAUCCCCAACCCCAAACCGUCCAGACGCGGAGACCGCGCAGUACUUGGGUCUUCUCAACGAAGACGACGACGGUGAUCCGGAUAAUCACGUAUUCGCAGUGGAGUUCGACACGGUUCAAGGAUACAAAGACAGCACAGAUCGAAUAGGCAACCACAUCGGUCUAAAUUUCAACAGUCUCUCUUCACAAAUUGUGGGCUUUACUGCUAUUUAUAAGUUCUAUCGUUACCCCGACAGGUUAAGGAUGCGACUCAGCCAGGUAUAAAAAUAUAUACCUCAAUGAUCUCAGUUCUUUUUGCAUUCUUUUGAGUUGACUUGUUGCGCUGAUUCUUCGUUUUGAUUCCAGAUCCUGGUCCUGCCUUCCUUCCAAGGAAAAGGAUUUGGAAGCUACCUCAUGGAGAUUGUAAACAAAAUGGCCGUAUCAGAAAACGUUUACGAUCUAACAGUGGAAGAGCCAUCCGAAAAGUUCCAGCACAUCCGCACUUGCAUAGACAUAAACCGCUUGCUCGCUUUCGAUCCAAUCAAACCGGCCAUCGAUUCAGCUGUUGAGACUCUCACAAAAGGAAAGCUAUCGAAGAAAGCUCAGAUACCUCGCUUCACUCCACCUUCGGAUGCCGUCGAGAAGGUCCGUGAAGCUCUGAAGAUCAACAAGAAACAGUUCCUCAAAUGCUGGGAGAUCUUGAUAUAUCUCGCGCUUGAUCCUAUCGACAAAUACAUGGAGGAUUACGCAUGUGUCAUCACGAACCAUGUGAGAAUCGAUAUUCUUGGAAAAGAUAUAGAGGCUCCAAAGAAGCAGGUGGUGGAUGUUCCAACGACGUUCGAAGCUGAAGCAUCGUUUGUGGUUUUCAAGUGUGUGAAUGGAGAAGAAGCUAAUAACAGCAAUGUUCAAGUGGAUGAAAACAAACCGGAUCAAGAGCAGCAGCUGAAGCAAUUGGUUGAAGAAAGGAUUCGUGAGAUCAAGUUGGUUGCUGAGAAAGUCUCUAGAAAAUGAGAAUCUGAGUUGAAUAAAAACUUUGAGAGAGAUAUUUAUCAGAAGCUUUUUUGUUGAGUGUUCAAACUCUGUGGUCUUUAAAAAGACAAAUCUGUUUGUAUUCUCUUUGUACCGGUUUGUUACGGAGGUUUGAGUAAACAGUGUAGUUCCGGUUUAGCGGUUUCGUUCGGUUAUGCAACUAUUAGCACAAUUUACAUUCAUACCCGUAGUAAAUGUUUGAGGGCAAUUUCUUAAGUUUUCCUGUAGUGUAGCUGUUGAGUUACGUGCUGGGCCUUUAAUGGGCUCAAAACUUCUAAGGGCGUGAGAGGUUAAUGCUACAUGCUAACUAUAAUGGCACACACACUCAGCCCACUAAAGCCCAUAUAAAUCAUCUAGGUUUAGUUCAGUGUAGCAUAUAAAAUGCUUACUUCUCCCCCUUCUACGCCUUUCUGUCUGUCGACGUUCUUCAAGCCGCAAAGGUACUCUCUCUCGAGCUCAAUUCUUAGUUCUAUGAUCGUUAUAAUCUAGCAGUUUACAGAUCUGUUUAGUUUCCCGAUAAGUGAAUCUACUUAUAAGUGGUAUUUGAUAGGUAAGAGUUUGAAGAAGUACAAACACAGACGAAAGAGAAAAUGUCUGAGAAAAAGGGAAGGAAAGAGGAAGUGGUGACCAGAGAGUACACCAUCAACCUCCACAGACGCCUUCAUAGCUGGUUAGCUUUCUUAAAAACCUUAAUCUCUUCUACGACUGUUCAUGUUGUAGCUGCCUGAUUGUUCAAGUACAUAGUGUUUGUAAUGUGAUCGUCUCUUCCUGCCAUAUUAUAGUUAGGAAUCUUCUUGGACUUCUUGUGGGUUAUUUAAUUAGUGUCUAAAGUUUUAUCCUUUUCUAAAUGUAAAUCAUAUGUUAGGCCUUAAAAAUAAAUCUUUUUCAAAUUCAUUACAUUCAUAAAAAAUGUUGUUUAUGAUAUGGUGAAAAUUAGUAGCAAGCUUCUUUGGCUUACUUUUCGAAACUCAGUUUUGCAAUUGAAUUCACAUUGAAAUGUUGUUUAUAAUAAUCAUAUUCCAUGUGUUCAAUCUUGUUUCAGCUCGCUAUUACUGUUUUGGUGUUUCUUGAAGCAUAAUAAGUAUAACAAACACUGAAUCUUGUUCUGGUUCGGAUUCAAUUUAACCAAAUAUGAUAGUGUUGAAAUGAAAAUGUGAAUUUCAUUUUAAGAUUAGGUUUUAUUUAUCUGCUGAUUGUUUUCUUGAGAUUUAAGGUUUCCUGCUAAUACAUAAUUAAUUUUGUAACAGCACCUUUAAGAAGAAGGCACCAAAGGCCAUUAAGGAGAUCAGGAAGUUUGCAGAGAAAGCCAUGGGGACAAAGGACGUUAGAGUAGACGUGAAGUUGAACAAGCAGAUAUGGAGCAGAGGUAUCAGAGGUCCCCCGAGGAGGAUUAGGGUCCGUGUUGCACGUAAGAGAAAUGACGAUGAAGACGCAAAGGAAGAGUUUUUCUCGCUUGUCACUGUUGCUGAAAUCCCUGCCGAAGGACUCAGUGGACUCGGCACUAAGGUCAUCGAUGAGGAGGAUUGAGAGGAGAGGACUAGUCUGUCACUUAGACAAGUUUUGGUGUUUUUCUUUUAAUUUCUCGUUUUUUUUCAUUCAACAAGUCACAGAUGCAGUUUAUUGGAAAGACUCAUUUUCUAGAUCUUACGAUGAAUCUUUUUAUCUUCUGGAUUUUUUUCUUGAAAUCUCACAUUUUUAAGACGGUCCUAGUGAUAAUCAAGGUGAACCUUAGUUGUCUAUGCAAUCAAUUGAACCUAACAUUUCGUUAAACAUAUAAAUGUCAAAAAAAAAAAACAUAUAAAUGUCAAAUGAAAUAAACUUUAUGUAAUUCAAGAUACGUUCAUAGACAAGUCCGAAUCAAAAAAAUGUUUUCACUUUUCCGUAAUAAAGGAAAACAGAAGGACUCGAAAAUCAGUUCCAUGUGAUGUCAGCGUACCUUUUGAACGAAGACAUCCAUCACGCCAGGCCAGCUCUAGUUCGUUUCGCGUAUAAAAAGAAAAAGACGUCGACAGCAGGAUUCGAACCUGCGCGGGCAAAGCCCAAUUGAUUUCGAGUCAAUCUCCUUAACCACUCGGACAUAUCGACUUUUUGUAUGAUUCUCUCCUUUGACUACCUAUGAUAGUAUUGACCACAUCUGACGCUUCAAAUUAUAGAAAACCAAAAUUCUAUAAAGGCCACAACAUUUGUUUCAACUUUUCUAAGUGAUAAUAUUAUGUAAUAUGUGUUUAUGUGGCUAUCGGUCAAAAAGCUUCUUCCGCCCCCCGGUCUUGAAAUAUAAUUAAGUACUUACAUUUUUCCGGUUCGUGAAACUUAAUUUCUCCAGAUAACCGAACAAAACCAGUUCCAUGUCAUCGUAAAAUAUCCAAAUCGUUCAUUAAGCAACGUAUAAUGUAAAAUUAACCGGAACUGGUUCACAAAACCAGACCGAGCAGCAACAUAUAUAUAAAAAACAUAAAAAUGAGUUUUGUGCAAAGGUAAUCUUCUUAAAGGUCAGCUCUUCCAGGAUAGCGAGGGAAGGGAAUAACGUCUCUGAUGUUGUCCAUUCCUGUCGCAAACAGAACCAUACGCUCGAACCCAAGUCCGAACCCUGAAUGCUUCGCUGUUCCGUAACGUCUCAAGUCCAAGUACCACUCGUAUGGCUCCACUGGUAGUCCCAUCUCCUCAAUUCUGUUCAUACCAACAAAAAAAAAACACAAUCAAAGAAACAUCCAACAUUAAACAAAUUAAUUUCACUUUCACCAACCUUUCCAUGAUAACGUCAAUCCUUUCUUCCCUUUGGCUUCCACCAAUGAGUUCUCCAACCUAAUUAAAAAAGACGCCAUCAAUGUAUACUCUUCCAUGAUUAAAUGAUUCAACUUUACCUUUGGAACGAGGACAUCCAUGGCAGCAACGGUCUUCCCAUCAUCAUUAAGCCUCAUGUAGAAAGCCUUGAUUCCUUUCGGGUAGUUGUAAACAAUCAGAGGCUUCUGAAACACAACCUCUGUCAAGUACCUAUAAGAUAUGAGACAAGACAACAUUAGUAACGUUUUUUCUUGCAUUUUAAGUUGAAAAAUAGUUUUUUAACCUUUCGUGCUCAGAUGCUAAGUCGAUCCCCCACUCCACUGGGUUAACAAACUCCUUCCCUUUCCCCACAGCUUCCUCAAGCAGCUCUAUCGCUUUGGUGUACGUUAACCUACCAAACGGAGUCGACGCAACCAGCUUCAGCCUAUCGAUACACCGGCCAUUAGCUCCAUGUCAUCGUACCGCUUCUCGAGCAGCCACUUGCACAUGUACCUCACGUACGCCUCCGCGCAGUUCAUAUCGUCCUCUAGAUCGGCGAAAGCUAACUCAGGCUCCACCAUCCAGAAUUCAGCGAGAUGCCUCGAGGUGUGAGAGUUCUCUGCUCGAAAAGUAGGACCAAAAGUGUACACGUCGCUCAGACCGCACGCGUAGGUUUCCACUUGUAACUGACCUGAGACCGUUAAGAAAGCUUGGCGGCCGAAGAAGUCUUGAGUGUAAUCAAUCUUUCCAUCGAGUUUAGGUAGUCCGGGUUUGAGCUUUGACCUCUCUUCGGUUCUGGAUAAGCUCGCUUUUGCUUCGUUGAGUUCAGCAACGGAGGCGGUGAUCGUUUCCUUGCUUGCUUUAGCGGAUUUGAGGUGGGCGACGGCUUCGCCUCUCGCCUUGACGAUGAGUCUGGCGGCUUCGACGUCGGCCUCGGUGGGAGGAGGGUUUUCGAUGAGGUCUCUCUCUAGCUUCUCGGUGUGGCUGAUGAGAGUUGUUACUUGGAACAUCUCUCCAGCGCCUUCGCAGUCACUUGUUGUGAUGAUUGGGGUUUGAAUGUAGAGGAAACCUUCUUCGUCGAAGAAUGUGUGUGUGGCUAUAGCGAGAGCGUGUCGGAUUCUUGCAAUGGCUGAGAUCUGAAAAACACAGGGAAACAAAAACAGGGCAAUUAUUCAAACCUAACUUUCUGAUCAAGUAAUCAUCUUUGGUCAAGUCAGCAAAGAAACUCAGUAUCUAAAUCAAACACAGGAACAGUUUCAAUCAAAAGAAUUCUUUUUGUAUACGACAGGCGAACAUGAAUACAGGAGACUCCACUCAACCUAAUUGAAAUAAACUAACUUUCUGAUCAAUUAACCAUUCUAGACUAAGGCUGCAAAGAAUCUGUAAUCAUCAUCGUCACUGAGGCUAACAAAAACAAGACACUCCACUCCACUCAAAUCCAAUAGAGAUCAGAUAACUUUCUGCUCAAGAAAUAGCUUUUUCGAUUAGGGCUGUAACAGAAUCUGUAAUCAUCGUCACUAAAGCUAAGAAAGCUAGAAGAAUCUCAAUGACUGCAUCAAACCCAUGAACACUCGACUCCACUACACUCAAACCUAACUUUCUAAUCAAGUAAUCAUUUUUUGAUUAAGUCUCUACAUAAUCUCAAUAACUAAACCAAACCCAUAACAGAUUCAAUCAAAAGAAGUGAUCUUUAUUACCGAAUUGGUCCUAGAACGAAGAUGAGGAAACUCUCUCAACCUCUCAAGAGUCAGCUUCGUCUUCGGAAUCGGGUACGUAGCAGUAUCCACAGUCCCCACAUCAACCACCUCCACUACACUAAGCUCAACCUUCUGCUUCGUCCCUUUCCCUUCCGGAGGAAUCUUCAGACACCCAUCAACAGUCACACAAGUCCCCGUCGCAACCAGCUUGGAGAGAUCCGACACAGAGGCGUCCACCAUAACCUGAAGAUUCGCAGGGCACGAUCCAUCGUUCACCUCGAGGAAAGCGAAAGCGCCUUUCCCUUGCUCCCUUCCCGUUUUGACCCACCCGCUGAUUCGGACCUUCUGACCCGCGAGCCCGGCUCCGCCGUCGGGUCGGCCCAGGAUCGAGCGGAUGCGGACUCGGUCUGAGAACCGCGCUUUUUGCACUGUAACCUCGUCGGCCAUUUUGGUAUGAGUGGUGAUGAGUUUGGGGGCGCUGGAGACAGAACCCUAAAACAGCUAAGCAAGAACAUAACAUUUAGGGGUAUAAUUGGAAAUAUACACCCCGCAGAUUCUAGUGGUGGUGAUUUGUAAUUUCGUAGAUUCUUAAACAAUUAGCUUACGAAUCUUUCCAGCUCCAUAUAAAUAUUCGUAAAAUAAUCAAAUUGUGGGAGGAGGGUUUUCGAUGAGGUCUCUCUCUAGCUUCUCGGUGUGGCUGAUGAGAGUUGUUACUUGGAACAUCUCUCCAGCGCCUUCGCAGUCACUUGUUGUGAUGAUUGGGGUUUGAAUGUAGAGGAAACCUUCUUCGUCGAAGAAUGUGUGUGUGGCUAUAGCGAGA